CGUUGAUUACGUCCCUGCCCUUUGUACACACCGCCCGUCGCUACUACCGAUUGAAUGGCUCAGUGAGGCUUUCGGACUGGCUUAGGGAGAUUGGCAACACCCACCCAGGGCCGGAAAGUUGGUCAAACUUGGUCAUUUAGAGGAAGUAAAAGUCGUAACAAGG
rnacentral:rRNA from 1 species